GUGAAUCAUCGAAUUUUUGAACGCAUAUUGCACUCUCUGGUAUUCCGGGGAGUAUGCCUGUUUGAGGGUCAGCCUAAAAAAAAUCGACAUAGUUGCUUUUUCGCGGUGACAUUCGUCGGCAAUUGGGUCAUCUUAAACCUUUGGGUUUUUAAGCGGCUUAAAAUUUUCUUUACGAUUCCACGAACGUUUCUAAGAUUUUAAUUCUUACACACGUUUAAGUUAUCGAUCUUUAUUAGACUUGGCCGUUGCAUGGGAUCGCUUCCAUAA
rnacentral:misc_RNA from 1 species